rnacentral:rRNA from 1 species
AUACGUAGGUGGCAAGCGUUGUCCGGAUUUACUGGGUGUAAAGGGCGAGUAGGCGGGAUAGAAAGUCAGAUGUGAAAUACCGAGGCUUAACUUCGGGGCUGCAUUUGAAACUUCUGUUCUUGAGUGAUGGAGAGGCAGGCGGAAUUCCCGGUGUAGCGGUGAAAUGCAUAGAGAUCGGGAGGAACACCAGUGGCGAAGGCGGCCUGCUGGACAUUAACUGACGCUGAGGCGCGAAAGUGUGGGGAGC